UGGAGAUGAAGGACUGCCCAGAGGCCAAUGUGUUGUGGUGAAUAAGGUCAUACUGGGAUAUUGGUUGGAUGCAGAGUAAUGUUACCAAAACACUUCAGCACUUUCAAAUCAUGAUAUCCCUUACCUAAAUUUAUAGCACUUUUCCAGUAUUUUAUAAAUUAUUCUUUCCAUCCUUUCCAGACUGCAGUAGGAGCCAAAGCAACUGACCUACAAACAGACUGGAGGGGACUUUCCUGGAGUAUGGGAGGUGAUGGGACCCUGGAGACCCAGGCUACUUUACCCAAUAUCUUGAAAAAAUUCAAUCCCAACCUCUUUGGCUUCUCCACUGGCAGCUCUAAGGAAACAGCUGGGUUCAAUGUUGCAGAGAGAGGUGCCACAGCA
rnacentral:lncRNA from 1 species